GUAAACUUAAAAUUUGCCUUCUAAGGCAUUUUUGAACUUGGGCUUGACUUAAAAAGAAUUCCCACUUACAGCUACACUAAUCCAAAAUCAUGAAGAAGAUGAAAAGAAUGUAGAUGACUUGUGGGGAAGUUUUAUUAAGAGAAGCAAAGAAAUACAGACCCCUAAGAACCUGCCCUGAACCUACAGCCUGUUAUACAGAGUGAAGUCUCUGACGGCACGAGAAAGAAAGAGCAAGAGGCCUCCAAGCCAAUAGAAGAAAGACUGACUCAACCCUAACAGCUGCUAAAAAUAGCAAAGCAGAGUUAUAAGCUUUCCUGUCCAAACAGAUGUAAAGCUGGCAGGUAGUCUGGGGCUAAUAGUGAAUGGAAUGGUCAGAGCCAUCUCAACCAGAGACCCUCACAAGGGGUUCUGAUCCUCGCUCAGCUAUGAGCAGAGCCAUCGCUGGCUUCCCACUUGGCA
ensembl:lncRNA